GAAUUGUGAGCCGCCCUGAGUCCCCUUCGGGGAAAAGGGCGGCAUAUAAAUGUAAUAAAUCCAAUCCAAUCUUUGUUUCUGGCCAGGACAGAACUCCAGCAUGCAGAAUUGACUCAUAAUCUAGAGAUAAUGUAUAGUCACAGUUCCUGCUCAAAAAGAAGAUGGGAAGCAAGAGGUUUUUACCUGCUUCCAGCUUGUCUCCCUUUUAUGAGGUCUUAUCAACAGACAACAAGAAAGCAACCUGACAUGGAAUAGUUAACCAUUUUCUGACAAGUUCUUUUCCAUGUGGAAGAAAAAGCUGCAAUUUGGAGAUGUUAAACUGGAGCAGAAAAAAGUCUAAUCAAGAAAUGGCAAAGUCUAUUGGUUCCUGUCCCCGCUGCCCCAGUGGGUGGGUACCAAAAAGGUAUUAAGAACAAGUUGCACACAUCUAUCAGAAAUAUCUAUUUUUGUUAAAAAUUUUAUUAGACUAAAACUAGUCCCCAAUGGUCUGAAGCCCAUUACAGCAAUAGAAAUUGCCUACACAUGAAGAAAAGAAGAGGAACAUAAAACAUAUUUUAUAUUAGGUCAUGUUAAGUAGCUAGUACAUUAAGCCCUGCAUUAUAGCUAGUAAAAAAUUCCUAGGGUACUUGGCAAAGUCUUUUUUUUUUUUUAGCUCUCUGGCCACUUGAUUAUUUUAAUUGGAAUCAGGAAGACUGAAUCAGGAAUUUUCUAUACAAUAUGUAAAGUAUGUACUUUACUAGUCAAUUUACUAGUUAUCCCUGUUGCUAGACUUUCAGCUGCCUGGAGUUCUGUCAAUGGACCAGUUUGGAAAAACAAGCAUGUUGUUCAUAACUUUGUAUGCAUUUUUGUAUAAUAGACUGCAAAUGCCAUCUAAAAUCAAUUUUAAAAGUUAUUAAACAUGAAUAAUUUAUUCCAGAUGGUUAUUUCUUGUGUAUGAUAAGUAGUAUCAAUGGUGUUUUCUUUGAUUUCUAUUUACUAUAUUCAUAUAAAAAAGCAAUUAAAUCAAUAUAACAGGCAAAUUUUUGUACAAAAAUACAGCAUUUUAAAAGCUUUAAAAGUAUAUUCUAUAUUACUGAUCAGAACUGGACUAUAUAUAUUUAUAUAUAAAAAUUUAUAUAAAUUUAUACAUGUUUAUUUAUAUAAAUUGCCAAUAUUUGGGAAUUUAGCAAGUGGCUGUUUUGUUUACACAGUAGCUUUGUAUUUUUUUGUCUUCCUAGAGUAGUAAAGUCAGAACUUGUAAUCAGCUUGCUAUUUUCUAGUUCUUACCAGAACAUAUCUUCUGCUUAAUGACUGAAGAGAUCUACAGGUAGUAUUGUCCAAUUACAUUUUCAACCAACAUGUUUGUGCAACAGGUUGUAAAGCCCCUGAAAAAUUAGAAAAUGUGGAAGACAAAUUGUGCUGAUGAAGUUUAUUCAUCAAAGUUCUCAGUGCUCCUUUUCUUAUUUGGGUGAUGGUUCAGUCCCAGAUGAAUUUCUUUGCAAAGAAAAUGUCAAUCUUUUGGCCUAUUACAAUCCUGGAGGCUGAGCUGGAGUGAGAAAAGAAAAUUAACAAGUGUUACAAAGGUGACGAAAGAAAGAUCUCCAGUCUUUCUACGUAAUGUCAAUUGCCAUUUGCCAAUGAAUCCCAAGGGCAGAUCAGUCGGUUUCACUCUUGAAAUGCAGACGUAGGAGGGGAAAAACUUUCAACCCACUGAUUCAUCUUUACAGUUGCAGAUGAUCUACUGGGAUAUAAGCACACCUUCCUGUUGGAUUUAUAUACGCAUUUCCAUAAAUUUGCAUAAUUAGAGCUACCAGAUCUAGACUGCAAAACUCCAGAGCAGAGAUUCUCAAUCUAUUAAUUGCCAUCUAAUUAUUCUUCAGAUUUCUGUAGCCUUUGUAUUUAUUUUGUGAUGUAUCAUCCUCCUAGUAAAUUAUCCUUUGGUUGGGUUAUGAACAAUCACUUUAAGAUUUCGUAAGGUCCUUAAAGAUGCAAUUAUUUAAGUUACAAAUGUGGAGAUUAGGAUAAGAAGGAAUUAGCCAAAGAUAUCAAUAACAUUUCCUUAACCUAAGCUCCAGUGCUUAAAAGCAAUCAAACUGAGAGACUGGAGAAAAAAGUAAUAAUUUCAUUCAGUGGGAAUGACAAAUCUUAGUCUCCUUGAUCUAUUGCUGAUCCAGUUCAUACCCUGAUUCCCAUUAAAAAGAAUUUGGCUGAUAUUUAGCUUCAAUGAUAAAUGAAGACACAAGUUUGGUACCAGCAACAAUUUACAACUGAUGCAACACAGAAGUCUUGUUUUCUGUAAUCAGCCAAGCAAAAUUGACCCUUUCUCUUUCUUUAUUUGUUCUCCCUCCUCCACCCACAUGUUUAUAUAAAAGUUGUUAAAAAAAACCUGUGGUUUCUCUAGUCUAGUUUGCUAUUAACUCUGUAAUAAACAUCUUAAGGUGCUGUAUUAUCUUCUUUUACUGGUUAUUCAGGAUUUAUUUUCUGGCAAUAAACAUGUUGAAAUCA